AUCUAGAUGACGAGUCCCAAAUAAGACGAAAUGCGCAUCCUAACUGGAU
rfam:Trichobilharzia regenti genome assembly, scaffold: TRE_scaffold0029799